rnacentral:rRNA from 1 species
ACUCAAAGGAAUUGACGGGGGCUCACACAAGCGGUGGAGCAUGUGGCUUAAUUCGAGGCUACGCGAAGAACCUUACCUAGGUUUGACAUGCACGGAUUAGCUUCCUGAAAGGGAAGUGACACCCGCAAGGGUGGAACGUGCAAAGGUGCUGCAUGGCUGUCGUCAGCUCGUGUUGUGAGAUGUCGGGUUAAGUCCUCUAACGAGCGAAACCCUUGUCUCUAGUUACCAGCGGGUUAUGCCGGGAACUCUAGAGAGACCGCCGGUGUUAAGCCGGAGGAAGGCGGGGAUGACGUCAAGUCCUCAUGGCCUUUAUGCCUAGGGCUGCACACGUGCUACAAUGGGGGGUACAAAGGGAAGCAAAUCCGCAAGGCAGAGCAAAUCCCAGAAAACCUUCCUCAGUUCAGAUUGCGGGCUGCAACUCGCCCGCAUGAAGCUGGAAUCGCUAGUAAUCGCGGGUCAGCUAUACCGCGGUGAAUGUGUUCCUGAGCCUUGUACACACCGCCCGU